AUACAUUGAGGGAGAAAGGCAGCGGGAGACGGCCGCGAGAUUCCCCCAUCUCUUUGAAUAUAAUUUUAGAUUGAGAUUCAGAUUAAAUCCGAGGGGAAAACACUUUAUGAGGCUGAAAGCUGUGUCGUUGCCAGAGCCAGGGUUAUGAGCUAUCAAAUGCAAUUACAUUCAGACAGAUUAUACUGGGCAAAUUGAGCCAUUUAGAAGGUGAGAAUCAAAGAAACGGCUCUGAUCCUCUUUUCCCCCUUCUCUCUCCCUCUCCCUCUCUCUCUCUCUAAAUUGCAGUUCGUAGUUCCUUGCAAUUCUGAGGCACAAAAGUAGGUGAGACUGCUUUUGUAUCUGCGAAGUGCUUCACUCCUGAAUGUAAUUCUAGCUGAGUGCAAUCUAGGUUAAGAGCCGGACAAGCGGGUAAUUAGAGCCCGCUAGCUGCCCGAGGACCAGCCGCCCCGCCGAAGCGCGCCCAGAGUCGGCGCCCUUCUCCCGGCCGAGCCUAGCUGCGGCUGGACACGGAGCGCCCGAGAUGAUGGUGCUGGACAAGGAGGACGGCGUGCCGAUGCUCUCCGUUCAGCCCAAAGGGAAGCAGAAGGGUUGCGCGGGCUGUAACCGCAAGAUCAAGGACCGCUAUCUGCUGAAGGCAUUGGACAAGUACUGGCACGAAGACUGCCUCAAGUGUGCCUGCUGUGACUGUCGCCUGGGCGAGGUGGGCUCCACCCUCUACACCAAGGCCAACCUCAUCCUGUGCCGACGCGACUACCUGAGGCUCUUUGGUACUACAGGGAACUGUGCUGCUUGCAGCAAGCUGAUCCCAGCCUUCGAGAUGGUGAUGCGGGCCCGGGAUAACGUGUAUCACCUCGACUGCUUCGCCUGCCAGCUCUGCAACCAGAGGUCAGUGCUGGACUGGCAGACCCAACACACUCCCCAGAUGCCAGUCUGAGGCCUGCUGGGAUGGGCCGGGAGCACGGUGGAGGCAUGCAAGCAAAUGCGGGUUGCAUGUGUGUAUGUGGUGAUUUUGUGUGGGAGACAAAUUCUUCCUGAAGAACAACAUGAUCUUGUGUCAGAUGGACUAUGAGGAGGGGCAGCUCAAUGGCACCUUUGAAUCCCAAGUUCAGUAACACCCGGCGCCUGGCCUCCAGGCCCGUCUGUCCACCCGCCUGGCCGGCCGGCCAGCCACUCUGCCAGUGCAGGCUGGCCAGUCACUCUCCUGCCACAUUAGAACUUCUCCGUCCUCGAUGGGAGGGACGGCCCUUCCUCCUCCACCACCGCCCGUCUGUGUAUGACCCCUCCUGGGGCCAGGCCGGGCCUGUACAGUCUGUCUUCUGUAUAUAAAUGGGAACAUUUAUUUUAUGAGAAAUGUAAUGCGAUUUUAUUACUGGCGUGGAUUAAACUUAUGAAUGUUUCCGGGA